rnacentral:rRNA from 1 species
AGAGUUUGAUCAUGGCUCAGAUUGAACGCUGGCGGCAGGCCUAACACAUGCAAGUCGAGCGGUAGAGAGAAGCUUGCUUCUCUUGAGAGCGGCGGACGGGUGAGUAAUGCCUAGGAAUCUGCCUAGUGGUGGGGGAUAACGUUCGGAAACGGACGCUAAUACCGCAUACGUCCUACGGGAGAAAGCGGGGGAUCUUCGGACCUCGCGCCAUUAGAUGAGCCUAGGUCGGAUUAGCUAGUUGGUGAGGUAAUGGCUCACCAAGGCGACGAUCCGUAACUGGUCUGAGAGGAUGAUCAGUCACACUGGAACUGAGACACGGUCCAGACUCCUACGGGAGGCAGCAGUGGGGAAUAUUGGACAAUGGGCGAAAGCCUGAUCCAGCCAUGCCGCGUGUGUGAAGAAGGUCUUCGGAUUGUAAAGCACUUUAAGUUGGGAGGAAGGGUAGUAACCUAAUACGUUGCUACUUUGACGUUACCGACAGAAUAAGCACCGGCUAACUUCGUGCCAGCAGCCGCGGUAAUACGAAGGGUGCAAGCGUUAAUCGGAAUUACUGGGCGUAAAGCGCGCGUAGGUGGUUCAGUAAGUUGGAAGUGAAAUCCCCGGGCUCAACCUGGGAACUGCUUUCAAAACUGCUGAGCUAGAGUACGGUAGAGGGUGGUGGAAUUUCCUGUGUAGCGGUGAAAUGCGUAGAUAUAGGAAGGAACACCAGUGGCGAAGGCGACCACCUGGGCCUGCACUGACGCUCAUGCACGAAAGCGUGGGGAGCAAACAGGAUUAGAUACCCUGGUAGUCC